rnacentral:rRNA from 1 species
AUUGAACGCUGGCGGCAGGCCUAAUACAUGCAAGUCGAACGAGUGGCGGACGGGUGAGUAAUGUCGGGGAACCUGCCUGACGGAGGGGGAUAACUCCUGGAAACGGUAGCUAAUACCGCAUACCUUCCGCUGUUCCCAGAUGGGAUUAGCUUGUUGGUGGGGUAACGGCUCACCAAGGCGACGAUCCCUAGCUGGUCUGAGAGGAUGACCAGCCACACUGUAACUGAGACACGGUCCAGACUCCUACGGGAGGCAGCAGUGGGGAAUAUUGCACAAUGGGCGCAAGCCUGAUGCAGCCAUGCCGCGUGUAUGAAGAAGGCCUUCGGGUUGUAAAGUACUUUCAGCAGGGAGGCGUUACCCGCAGAAAAAGCACCGGCUAACUCCGUGCCAGCAGCCGCGGUAAUUC